ACAAAUGCGUUGACGGGGAAAAAACGAUUUUCUUCUGCGUACAGAGAGCCGCCGGGUGGUGCAAGGCGGGUGCAGAGGGUUUCGGUUACUGGCCCCUGAGCGGCAGGGCUGAACACACAAGUAGGCUCUGACGGAUGUCCACCGUUACAAGGACAGCGAUUCGCCGCAAAAAGCCGAUCGUGCAAAGCGGCUGUGCCCAAAGGCGCAGCAAAGAGAGUGGUACCACGGGUGCCCUGUAGUUUGAACUUUACAGGCUCUCGUCUCUCAA
rfam:Faecalibacterium cf. prausnitzii KLE1255 F_prausnitziiKLE1255.K95-1.0_Cont285.3, whole genome shotgun sequence.